rnacentral:rRNA from 1 species
AUUGAACGCUGGCGGCAGGCCUAACACAUGCAAGUCGAACGAGUGGCGGACGGGUGAGUAAUGUCUGGGAAACUGCCUGAUGGAGGGGGAUAACUACUGGAAACGGUAGCUAAUACCGCAUAACAUCAGAUGUGCCCAGAUGGGAUUAGCUAGUUGGGGGGGUAACGGCUCACCAAGGCGACGAUCCCUAGCUGGUCUGAGAGGAUGACCAGCAACACUGGAACUGAGACACGUUCCAGACUCCUACGGGAGGCAGCAGUGGGGAAUAUUGCACAAUGGUCGCAAGCCUGAUGCAGCCAUGCCGCGUGUAUGAAGAAGGCCUUCUGGUUGUAAAGUACUUUCAGCGGGGAGGCGUUACCCGCAUAAGAAGCACCGGCUAACUCCGUGCCAGCCGCCGCGGUAAUUC